rnacentral:rRNA from 1 species
AACACAUGCAAGUCGAGGGGCAGCAUAAAAGUAGCAAUACUUGGUGGCGACCGGCGCACGGGUGAGUAACGCGUAUGCAACCUACCUAUCAGAGGGGAAUAACCCGGCGAAAGUCGGACUAAUACCGCAUAAAACAGGGGCACCGCAUGGUGAUAUUUGUUAAAGAAAUUCGCUGAUAGAUGGGCAUGCGUUCCAUUAGGUAGUUGGUGAGGUAACGGCUCACCAAGCCGACGAUGGAGUAGGGGAACUGAGAGGUUGGUCCCCCACACUGGUACUGAGACACGGACCAGACUCCUACGGGAGGCAGCAGUGAGGAAUAUUGGUCAAUGGGCGGGAGCCUGAACCAGCCAAGUCGCGUGGAAAAGGAAGAAGGAUCUAUGGUUCGUAAACUUCUUUUGCAGGGGAAUAAAGUGCAGGACGUGUCCUGUUUUGUAUGUACCCUGAGAAUAAGGAUCGGCUAACUCCGUGCCAGCAGCGGC